UACACAUGCAAGUCGAACGGUGAUGCCCAGCUUGCUGGGCGGAUCAGUGGCGAACGGGUGAGUAACACGUGAGCAACCUGCCCUCCACUUCGGGAUAAGCCUUGGAAACGGGGUCUAAUACCGGAUAUGAGCCUGCAUCGCAUGGUGUGGGUUGGAAAGUUUUUCGGUGGGGGAUGGGCUCGCGGCCUAUCAGCUUGUUGGUGGGGUGAUGGCCUACCAAGGCGUCGACGGGUAGCCGGCCUGAGAGGGCGACCGGCCACACUGGGACUGAGACACGGCCCAGACUCCUACGGGAGGCAGCAGUGGGGAAUAUUGCACAAUGGGCGAAAGCCUGAUGCAGCGACGCCGCGUGAGGGAUGACGGCCUUCGGGUUGUAAACCUCUUUCAGCAGGGAAGAAGCGCAAGUGACGGUACCUGCAGAAGAAGCGCCGGCUAACUACGUGCCAGCAGCCGCGGUAAUACGUAGGGCGCAAGCGUUGUCCGGAAUUAUUGGGCGUAAAGAGCUCGUAGGCGGUCUGUCGCGUCUGGUGUGAAAUCCCGAGGCUCAACCUCGGGCUUGCAUCGGGUACGGGCAGACUAGAGUGCGGUAGGGGAGACUGGAAUUCCUGGUGUAGCGGUGGAAUGCGCAGAUAUCAGGAGGAACACCGAUGGCGAAGGCAGGUCUCUGGGCCGCAACUGACGCUGAGGAGCGAAAGCAUGGGG
rnacentral:rRNA from 1 species